GACGAACGCUGGCGGUGUGCCUAACACAUGCAAGUCGAACGGAAACGCACUGCUUGCGUGCGGUUACCGAGUGGCGAAGGGGGGAGUAACACGUGAGUAACCUGCCCUUGACUUUGGGAUAACUUCAGGAAACUGGGCUUAAUACCGGAUAGGAGCCCCCGCUGCGGGGAGGGGGGUGGAACGUUUCGGCGGUUGGGGAUGGACUCGCGGCUUAUCAGCUUGCUGGUGGGGUAGUGGCUUACCAAGGCUUGGACGGGUAGCCGGCCUGGGAGGGUGACCGGCGACAAUAGGACUGAGAGACGGCCCAGACUCCAACGGUAGGCAGCAGUGGGGAAUAUUACACAAUGGGCGGGAGCCUGAUGCGGCGACGCCGGGUGCGGGAUGACGGCCUUCGGGUUGUAAACCGCAUUCGCCUGUGACGAAGCGGGAGUGACGGUAAUGGGUAAAGAAGCACCGGCUAACUACGUG
rnacentral:rRNA from 1 species